GAUGAACGCUGGCGGCGUGCCUAAUACAUGCAAGUCGAGCGAACAGACGAGGAGCUUGCUCCUCUGACGUUAGCGGCGGACGGGUGAGUAACACGUGGAUAACCUACCUAUAAGACUGGGAUAACUUCGGGAAACCGGAGCUAAUACCGGAUAAUAUAUUGAACCGCAUGGUUCAAUAGUGAAAGACGGUUUUGCUGUCACUUAUAGAUGGAUCCGCGCCGCAUUAGCUAGUUGGUAAGGUAACGGCUUACCAAGGCAACGAUGCGUAGCCGACUUGAGAGGGUGAUCGGCCACACUGGAACUGAGACACGGUCCAGACUCCUACGGGAGGCAGCAGUAGGGAAUCUUCCGCAAUGGGCGAAAGCCUGACGGAGCAACGCCGCGUGAGUGAUGAAGGUCUUCGGAUCGUAAAACUCUGUUAUUAGGGAAGAACAAAUGUGUAAGUAACUAUGCACGUCUUGACGGUACCUAAUCAGAAAGCCACGGCUAACUACGU
rnacentral:rRNA from 1 species